GAUGAAGAACGCAGCGAAAUGCGAUAAGUAAUGUGAAUUGCAGAAUUCAGAGAAUCAUCGAAUCUUUGAACGCACAUUGCGCCCAUUAGUAUUCUAGUGGGCAUGCCUGUUCGAGCGUCAUUAAGUCCACUUAAGCCCUGCUUAGUGUUGGGAGACUGCUCCAGCGGUGCUACCCUGUAGCUACCCUGCAGCUCCUCAAAGACAGCGGCGGAGUUGUGGUAUCCUCUGAGCUUAGUAACUUGUUCUAGCUUUCGAGUACACCACUUCCCCUGCCGUAAAACCCUUAAUUUUUAAUGGUUGACCUCGGAUCAGGUAGGAAUACCCGCUGAACUUAAGCAUAUCAAUAAGCGGAGGA
rnacentral:misc_RNA from 1 species